rnacentral:rRNA from 1 species
UUAUGGCUCAGGAUGAACGCUAGCGACAGGCUUAACACAUGGCAAGUCGAGGGGCAGCAAUAGAAGUAGCAAUACGUUGGUGGCGACCGGCGCACGGGUGAGUAACGCGUAUGCAACCUACCUAUCAGAGGGGAAUAACCCGGCGAAAGUCGGACUAAUACCGCAUAAAACAGGGGCACCGCAUGGUGAUAUUUGUUAAAGAAAUUCGCUGAUAGAUGGGCAUGCGUUCCAUUAGGUAGUUGGUGAGGUAACGGCUCACCAAGCCGACGAUGGAUAGGGGAACUGAGAGGUUGGUCCCCCACACUGGUACUGAGACACGGACCAGACUCCUACGGGAGGCAGCAGUGAGGAAUAUUGGUCAAUGGGCGGGAGCCUGAACCAGCCAAGUCGCGUGAAAGGAAGAAGGAUCUAUGGUUCGUAAACUUCUUUUGCAGGGGAAUAAAGUGCAGGACGUGUCCUGUUUUGUAUGUACCCUGAGAAUAAGGAUCGGCUAACUCCGUGCCAGCCGCUGC